rnacentral:rRNA from 1 species
UACGUAGGUGGCAAGCGUUAUCCGGAAUUAUUGGGCGUAAAGCGCGCGUAGGCGGUUUCUUAAGUCUGAUGUGAAAGCCCACGGCUCAACCGUGGAGGGGCAUUGGAAACUGGGAGACUUGAGUGCAGUAGAGGAAAGUGGAAUUCCAUGUGUAGCGGUGAAAUGCGUAGAGAUAUGGAGGAACACCGGUGGCGAAGGCGACUUUCUGGACUGUAACUGACACUGAGGCGCGAAAGCGUGGGGAGCAAACAGG